rnacentral:lncRNA from 1 species
UUUUUUUUUCAUUUUUAUUCUAAAAGGACCCUUAUUCUAUUUCGAUAUUCCUUUCCUUAUAGAUCCGAGUUCUAAAUUAUUAGACAAAAAUAGAAAAUAGAUCCAUGGGUUUAAUACCUUUUUAUAGAACUCGUACUUCAGAGAAAUAUCAGAUAGAGUCGACGGUUGUAUUAAAAAAGAAAUUAGCAAGUUUUUUUUUCUAUUUUUUCUUCAGUUCAUUUCAAAAUACUUCAAUUGGUACGCGCAAGAAAUA